rfam:Aphanizomenon flos-aquae 2012/KM/D3 mira_65_len_New_1:17534, whole genome shotgun sequence.
GUUGUAACCCAGCCUAAAGGGACUGAGCUUGCAAGAAAUUGCAAGCUGUACUGACCAGACCAGCCUUAGACUACGCUUAGGGUAGCCGUUAUUUGAGUCACGACACCUCGAAAUACGUAGCCAGUUUCCCGCUCUGUCGCUGUAAGUUACACAGUUCUAAGGUAACAGGAACAGUGCUUUCAGCCUAACAAGCUGUUAUAACAGGUCGUUCGCGCCUGAGUUUC